GCUUUAACUGUGAUCAUUCACAAUAUAAUACCGUAUUUAGACUUUUACUGUGAAAAUAAUGCAGGCGCGGGGCUUUUACAAGAAACUACUGUGAAUGCCGUCUUUUUUGAGUGGCAACUGCGGCAGCGUCAUCAGAGCGUCAUCAGAGCUCUCUGAUCUACGUGGUCUCAUUCGGUGGAUUCAGACAGCGGUGCUUCUUGGGCAUCAACCCAGAGACGGGCACAAAAUCUAAGAGGCAGAGAGGUCACAUGAACCAGCAAGUCUGCACUCUUAUCAGGAAGCUCAUUGACUUCGAAUGGAUGUCAAUCUAAUUGGAUAGAACCCACACUAUGCAGGUGCCAGCUGCGAGGGAAGGAGAGAGACACCUGCGACCCUCUCUAUUCCCACCUUUUUGUCUUUUCUUACAUCUCUCUCCCUCACUCUCUCUUCUCUGUCUCCUUCUUUCUCUUUUGACACACAUUCCUGUUACCCAGUGUCAAUCCCUGUUGCCCAGUGUUUUAUUCAUGUAAUUAAAUUGUAUUUUACUUCUAAAAAAUAAAAGUUAUGUCACUGUUUUUAUCA